CUUCCCGGAAACACAAAUCGACCCAAUCUCUUCUCCAUUAAAAUCAUCUCUGAUUACCUCCGUUUUCGAACAGAGAAGAUAGAUUGAUUGAUUCACAUAAACCCUGAACAAUUUAUAGAUACGAAUCAAAACCCUAGAAAAAAAUUUACUCAGAAAUCAAAACCCUUAACGUCUUGGAAUUCUCCAAAUUAGGGUUCUUGAAGAGAUGAUGAUGAUUAGGGUUUUCUGUGAAUCCCAGAGAAGAAAAUUGAAGUAAUCUGGGGUGAUCUUGAAAGUAAAGAAGAAGAAUUCAAAAAUGGGUGUUGAUAUUUGAGUUGACUGAGAGUCUGCUGGAAAAUGCAGGUGAGCGAUUUCAGUAUUGCUCAAAGAUGUAACUCGUCGUGGUCAAUCUCUUUCUUCUUCUUCUUAUGAAUCUUAUAUAUUCGUGGAUAAAUGAUUCCAAUUGCUUGAUGGAACCCAAUGGAGGUCCAGAAGCAAUCAGAUAACUCAAUUUCACAUGGAUGGAAUUGAACUAUUAUGGAAACGUGCGGAGGAUGACGAUGCUGAUAAGCUUCUACUCGCAGCAUCAGAAAAUGGGUGUCUGCAAACUGGGGAUGUCACAAUGGAUAAUACGGAGCUAGGGAUGUGAUCUGCACCCUAAAGUCGCUGGAGGAGUAGAUUGGGUACUAAUGAAGUUGUUGAGAUAUUUGAUUAUCUGUUUGUAGAUUUUGGUCUUGCUAAGAUAUCAAAUGACAUCACCACCCAUGUUUGAACUCGUGUAAUGGGAACAUUUGGGCAGGUACAUGGCACCUGAGUAUGCUUCAAGUGGCCAAUUGACUGAUAGAUCCGAUGUGUUCUCGUUCGGAGGGGUGCUUCUAGAGCUUGUGACUGGACGUAGACCUGUCGAGGCGAGCCAGGAUGAGAGUUUAGUAGAAUGGGUAAGCAUAUGUAUAUAUUUCAGGAACCUUUGACCUGCUGUUACUUUUUUCCUAGAAAUACUUCUGCGCCUUGAAUAAGAUGAACUUUUGUCUUGGCGGAUGUUUUCUGCUGGCCAGACCAUUGAUAGCCAGUGCAACCGAAACUGGAGUUUUUUCAGAGUUGGCAGAUCCAAGGAUUGAAAAGAGAUACGUCGAGAGAAAGAUGUUUAGGAUUGCUGAGACAACUGCUGCUUGUGUUCAUCACUCUGCUAACAAAAGACCCCUCAUGGUGCAGGUAUUAAGGGCGUUGGACACUGACGGUGACAUGCCAAAUAUCAACAAUGGCGAGAAAGUUGGUCAGAGCACUAUUUUUGAAGCAAAUUCAGAUCUUCAAAAAUUUCAAAUGUUGGCGCUGGGUGGCAAUGGUACUGCAGACUAUAGCAUGUAUAGUGGAAGUAUGAACUAUAGAGCAGAGAUUUUACCCCUGAAACCUCCACCAGGUUGGAGUGGCGAAUCAGAAACUCGUGCCAUUAACCUACACAAAUGUUGAACAGUGACAUCCAAAUACACUUUAAUGUUUUUGCAAUAACUUUAACUUGGUGUCGUUUCAUGUAGUGGUGUCGUUUCGUCAAGUUCUUCUGUCGGCCCUCCCACCGUGGCAACGGUUAUACUAGUUUAUAGGAGGAUGAGACACCUGCAUACGUAUUUAUUUAUAAACCGGUCAGGUAAUCUUUGUUGAGUUUCAUUUUGAAAUUAGAUAAAAGGGAACAUUUAUGUGAACCUUGAUGCUAUUGACAUUGUUUCAUUGAGUGAUUAUUGUAGACUAUGACUACCGUCAUUCUGUGUU